rnacentral:piRNA from 1 species
UGAGUCUAUUUCCAUUACUCUAAUGGAAUGC